CUCAGCUCCUGGGGCUGCUGCUGCUCUGCCUCCCAGGUAAGGAGGGACAGCACUUAGGAUGUACUAAUCACAGUGUGGUCAGUGCUGCCUGGCUACUCAGGAAAGUCCUCUUGGAACAUCACUACUUCAAGAAUAUUUCUUUUUAUGUUUCCAAUGGCAGGUGUCCGAUGUGACAUCACGAUGACCCAGUCUUCAUCCUCCUUGUCUGUGUCUCAUGGAGACAGAGUCAAUAUCACCUGCAGGGCCAAGCAGGGCAUUAGCAAUUAUUUACACUAGUAUCAGCAGAAACAAGGCCAAGCUCCUACACUCCUCAUCAGAUAUGCAAACACUUUGGAAUCUGGGGUCCCCUCAAGGUUCAGUGGCAGUGGAUCUGGGACAGAUUUCACUCUCACUAUCAGCAGCCUAGAGCCUGAAGAUGUUGCCAAUUAUUACUGUCAACAAAGUAACAGUUACCCUCCCACAGUGACACAGGCCAUGACAAAAACCUC
rnacentral:lncRNA from 1 species